rnacentral:rRNA from 1 species
AUUGAACGCUGGCGGCAGGCCUAACACAUGCAAGUCGAACGAGUGGCGGACGGGUGAGUAAUGUCUGGGAAACUGCCUUAUGGAGGGGGAUAACUACUGGAAACUGUAGCUAAUACCGCAUACCAUCAGAUGUGCCCAGAUGGGAUUAGCUAGUAGGGGGGGUAACGGCUCACCUAGGCGACGAUCCCUAGCUGGUCUGAGAGGAUGACCAGCAACACUGGAACUGAGACACGGUCCAGACUCCGACGGGAGGCAGCAGUGGGGAAUAUUGCACAAUGGGCGCAAGCCUGAUGCAGCCAUGCCGCGUGGGUGAAGAAGGCCUUCGGGUGGUAAAGUACUUUCAGCGGGGAGGCGUUACCCGCAGAAGAAGCACCGGCUAACUCCGUGCCAGCAGCCGCGGUAAUUC